rnacentral:tRNA from 1 species
GGGGAUAUAGCUCAGUGGUAGAGCAUGCGCGUAGCAUCCAUAAGGCCCUGGGUUCAAUUCCCAGUGCCCCA